GUGUCAGCAGCCGCGGUAAGACAGAGGUGGCUAGCGUUAUUCGGAUUUAUUGGGCGUAAAGGGCGCGUAGGCGGCCAGGCACGUCUGGUGUGAAAGCGCUACCGCUUAACGGAGCGACUGCAUUGGAUACGGCUUGGCUUGAGUCCGGGAGAGGUGAGUGGAAUUCCUGGUGUAGCGGUGGAAUGCGUAGAUAUCAGGAAGAACACCAGUGGCGAAGGCGGCUCACUGGCCCGGCACUGACGCUGAGGCGCGAAAGCGUGGGGAGCAAACGGGAUUAGAAACCCGGGUAGUCC
rnacentral:rRNA from 1 species